rnacentral:rRNA from 1 species
AACGAACGUUGGCGGCAUGCUUUACACAUGCAAGUCGAACGGUAACAGGCCGCAAGGUGCUGACGAGUGGCGAACGGGUGAGUAAUGCAUCGGAACGUGCCCAGUCGUGGGGGAUAACGCAGCGAAAGCUGUGCUAAUACCGCAUACGAUCUAUGGAUGAAAGCGGGGGACCGUAAGGCCUCGCGCGAUUGGAGCGGCCGAUGUCAGAUUAGGUAGUUGGUGGGGUAAAGGCUCACCAAGCCAACGAUCUGUAGCUGGUCUGAGAGGACGACCAGCCACACUGGGACUGAGACACGGCCCAGACUCCUACGGGAGGCAGCAGUGGGGAAUUUUGGACAAUGGGCGCAAGCCUGAUCCAGCAAUGCCGCGUGCAGGAAGAAGGCCUUCGGGUUGUAAACUGCUUUUGUACGGAACGAAACGGUCCUGGUUAAUACCUGGGGCUAAUGACGGUACCGUAAGAAUAAGCACCGGCUAACUACGUGCCAGCCGCCGCGGUAACAC